UUAAAUUUUGAUUAUGAAAAUAAUUCAAAUGCAUAGAAAAAUUCUUAACUUGUUUAAUACAGAAAAUGACUAAAUUAUGUACCUGUUUUAUUUACCAAUGACUACUUAAUGAAUGAUUAUAAAAGAAAUGAGAACCUUACCCUUCUAAAUUUUGAUUACCACAAUAAUUCAAAUACAUAGAAUCCUCCGUUUUUCCAAUUCAGAAGAUGAUUAUCUACCUGUGUUAUGUACCAAUGACUACUUAAAUGAUUAUAACAGAAAUGAAAAUAAGAAUAUAUACGUAAGCAAUCGAUUUUAAUUUUAGCAAUUAUUUCUCUAUGACAAAAUAUAUUAUUUAAAUAUUCGGUAUUCGGCCGAAUAUAAUAAAAGCAGCCGAAUAGGCCGAAUACCGAAUAGUAACCGAAUAU